GGGGGUGCCCCGGUUUCGACUGUUACGGUCAGAUCCGCAGGUCGCAGGUGGAGUUCCGAUCUCCUACUCUCGGAAAACUUUCAAGUGCCAACGAUAACGGCACCCUCGCUCUCGCCGCGUAAGCGCCGAUAGCGACGGACCCCGUGGUGCGCUGCUCCGAGCGUCACGUCCGGUCUGCAACCCGAUCAGAGCUUACCUGCCACUGAGCCCGCGCGGCGGCAGGGACACCCAGCGGGAUACGGGAGCGAAAGCGCGACGGCCCGCCGCCCGCCCCCCGACAACCCGAAUGGCCGCCUAAACCUGUAGACGCCUCCGUUUCGCGUAUCAGGACGCGGGUUCGACUCCCGCCACCUCCAAAA
rnacentral:tmRNA from 1 species